rnacentral:rRNA from 1 species
CAGCCGCCGCGGUAAUACCGGCGGCCCGAGUGGCGGUCACUAUUAUUGGGCUUAAAGCGUCCGUAGCCGGGUUGGGAAGUCCUCCGGGAAAUCUGGCCGCUUAAAGGUCAGAAUGCCGGAGGAUACUCCCAGCCUAGGGAGCGGGAGAGGCCGAGGGGAUUCCCGGAGGAGGGGGGAAAUCCUAUAAUCCCGGGAGGACCACCUGUGGCGAAGGCGCUCGGCUGGAACGCGUCCGACGGUGAGGGACGAAGGCCAGGGGAGCAAACCGGAUUAGAUACCCGGGUAGUCCUGGCUGUAAACGAUGCGGACUUUGUGUCGGACAAGCUAUGAGCUUGUCCGGUGCCGGAGGGAAACCGUUAAGUCCGCCGCCUGGGGAGUACGGCCGCAAGGCUGAAACUUAAAGGAAUUGGCGGG